rnacentral:rRNA from 1 species
CCUACGGGUGGCAGCAGUGGGGAAUAUUGCACAAUGGGGGGAACCCUGAUGCAGCGACGCCGCGUGGGUGAAGGCGUAUUUCGGUAUGUAAAGCCCUAACAGCAGGGAAGAACAAUGAAGGUACCUGACUAAGAUGCACCGGCUAAAUACGUGCAAGAAGCCGCGGUAAUACGUAUGGUGCAAGCGUUAUCCGGAUUUACUGGGUGUAACGGGAGCGCAGGCGGCGCUGUAAGACUGGUGCUAAAGCCCGCGGCCCAACCUCGGGACUGCAUUUGGAACUGGCGCGCUUGGGUGCCGGAGGGGUAGGCGGAAUUCCUAGUGUAGCGGUGAAAUGCGUAGAUAUUAGGAUGAACACCAGUGGCGAAGGCGGCCUACUGGACGGUGACUGACGCUGAGGCUCGAAAGCGUGGGGAGCAAACAGGAUUAGAUACCCGGGUAGUC